rnacentral:tmRNA from 2 species
GGGGAUGUAAUGGUUUCGACAGGGUACAGAAGCCACGCAGUUCGCACGUUGAUUGUUGUCAAACGUAAAAGCCAACAGCUAAAUUCAACUGACGAAGCUGAAUACGCAUACGCUGCUUGAUCGAUCCUCGGAUCGAUGACCCAGCCCCUUUGAAAGUACGAGCCGUUCGCCAACUCGAAGGUUUCAAAUAAAAACGGCAGUUUCCGGCUUUGUAAAAGCCGGUGGUGGAAAUCUCUGAAUCCCAGAGGUGCGCUCCUAUGAUGCCUGCAUGCUCAGGCUAUUGCGAUAAUGCUGUGUGAUGUGGAUGUAUUUUGGACAGGAGUUCGAUUCUCCUCAUCUCCACCA